rnacentral:lncRNA from 1 species
AUGGUUAUGAAAGGCUACUUCCAUCAGCAAAGGAGGCAGUACUUUUGGUUGCUGCAAAACUGGCCUGGAAGUCCACCUUUCACUUCAAAGAACACGAAACGAACAGCUGUCCCUUGUCAACCACAGCUUCAGAAGGACUCCAAAUUAAUUUUUGACAAAUUCUUGACAGCACCCCUCAUAUCUCUAACACAUCACAGGGAAUUAUCUGAUUCUGUAACUUUUGACUACUUUGGUGUCCCUCACAUGAAGGAACAGCUUUUGCCAACAUUCACUCCAGCCAUUGGAAAAGUCAAUAUCAUAAGCUUCCCCUAAAGCAAGAUUCAGCCUCCACCAGGCUGCGCUCAGAGGCUCAGCACUGUACUCAAAAAAUGAGAAAAUAAAACACUGAUAAAAU